UGACCUCAGAUCAGGCAAGGCUACCCGCUGAAUUUAAGCAAACGGAGCAGAUGCGAAGCUCCGACGAGUAGGAGGGCGUGGGGGUCGUGACGCAGCCUCUGGCGCGAGCCUGGGUGANACGGCCUCCAGUGCAGAUCUUGGUGGUAGUAGCAAAUAUUCAAAUGAGAGCUUUGAAGACCGAAGUGGAGAAAGGUUCCAUGUGAACAGCAGUUGGACAUGGGUUAGUCGAUCCUAAGAGAUAG
rnacentral:ncRNA from 1 species